CCUACGGGAGGCAGCAGUGAGGAAUAUUGGUCAAUGGACGCAAGUCUGAACCAGCCAUGCCGCGUGCAGGAAGACGGCCCUAUGAGUUGUAAACUGCUUUUGUACGAGGGUAAACGCAUAUACGUGUAUCUGUCUGAAAGUAUCGUACGAAUAAGGAUCGGCUAACUCCGUGCCAGCAGCCGCGGUAAUACGGAGGAUUCAAGCGUUAUCCGGAUUUAUUGGGUUUAAAGGGUGCGUAGGCGGUCGGAUAAGUAAGAGGUGAAAUCCCGAGGCUCAACUUCGGAAUUGCAGCUGAUACUGUUCGGCUUGAGAGUAGUUGCGGUAGGCGGAAUGUAUGGUGUAGCGGUGAAAUGCUUAGAUAUCAUACAGAACACCGAUUGCGAAGGCAGCUUACCAGGCUACUUCUGACGUUGAGGCACGAAAGCGUGGGGAGCAAACAGGAUUAGAUACCCGGGUAGUC
rnacentral:rRNA from 1 species